UUUUUUUUGGGAGAUUUGGUC
rnacentral:piRNA from 1 species